GCCUAGAGAGGGUUUUAUGUCCUAUCAGCUUGUUGGUAGGGUAAUGGCCUACCAAGGCAAAGACGGGUAGCCGGUUUAAGAGGAUGGUCGGCCACACUGGGACUGAGACACUGCCCAGACUUCUACGGAAGGCUGCAGUCGAGAAUCUUUCGCAAUGCCCGAAAGGGUGACGAAGCGACGCCGCGUGGGUGAAGAAGGCCUUCGGGUUGUAAAACCCUGUCAGGAGUUAUGAAACGUAAGUGCGAUAAUACCGUGCUUAUUUGACAAAGGCUCCAAAGGAAGCCACGGCUAACUCUGUGCCAGCAGCCGCGGUAAUACAGAGGUGGCAAGCGUUGUUCGGAAUUACUGGGCGUAAAGAGCACGUAGGUGGAUUUGUAAGUCAGAUGUGAAAGCCUUCUGUUCAACGGAAGAAUUGCAUCUGAAACUGCAAACCUUGAGUGUAGGAGGG
rnacentral:rRNA from 1 species